UACAGAGGGGGCUAGCGUUGUUCGGAAUUACUGGGCUUAAAGCGCAUGUAGGCGGCUUACCAAGUCAGGAGUGAAAUCCCAGGGCUUAACCCUGGAAUUGCUCUUGAUACUAGUAGGCUAGAAGAUGGUAGAGGAUAAUGGAAUUCUUAGUGUAGGAGUGAAAUCCGUAGAUAUUAAGAGGAACACCAGUGGCGAAGGCGGUUAUCUGGGCCAUUCUUGAUGCUGAGAUGCGAAAGUGUGGGGAGCAAACAGG
rnacentral:rRNA from 1 species